GAUGAACGCUGGCGGCGUGCCUAAUACAUGCAAGUCGAGCGAACGGACGAGAAGCUUGCUUCUCUGAUGUUAGCGGCGGACGGGUGAGUAACACGUGGAUAACCUACCUAUAAGACUGGGAUAACUUCGGGAAACCGGAGCUAAUACCGGAUGAUAUUUUGAACCGCAUGGUUCAAAAGUGAAAGACGGUCUUGCUGUCACUUAUAGAUGGAUCCGCGCUGCAUGAGCUAGUUGGUAAGGUAACGGCUUACCAAGGCAACGAUGCAUAGCCGACCUGAGAGGGUGAUCGGCCACACUGGAACUGAGACACGGUCCAGACUCCUACGGGAGGCAGCAGUAGGGAAUCUUCCGCAAUGGGCGAAAGCCUGACGGAGCAACGCCGCGUGAGUGAUGAAGGUCUUCGGAUCGUAAAACUCUGUUAUUAGGGAAGAACAUCUGUGUAAGUAACUGUGCACAGCUUGACGGUACCUAAUCAGAAAGCCACGGCUAACUACGUG
rnacentral:rRNA from 1 species